UUUAAUGUAAUGUAUUUCUUAAAUUUAUUUUAUAUAAAAAUAAUAUAAUUUAUCUUAACAUAACAUUUUUUAUUUGGAUUGGGCUAUACUCACAUAAAAAACGGGUUUGAAAUAUUACAUUCCCGGCUUGAACCAGGCUGAUUAUGAGGUCUAAUCUUCUUCAAUGCUUUCAUUUUGUUGUUGAAAAAAAAACCUUCAAAUUCGAUCCAACAGCUAGUACCUCUCUCUUGCAAGUGGAGUUUGAAUGCUUCAGCUCUUGAUAACGAAACCCCCUGAAGAAAAGGAAUAGCAGCAUAAACAUGAUUGGCCGCUUUAAACUUACCAAUGUUUAUGGAUUUCAAAUAUUCUUGUGUAAAUAGACAAGAAUGAAAAUCUUUACUUCUAAAAGAUUGACAAACUCCAAGCAAAAGUUUUAGUUUUGAUAACAUUUUUGGGAGAUGCUUUAUGGUGAGAACAAUGGAUGACCAAAUUGGACCUUGACUCAACUAAAACCUGUUAGUGUUGCAGUUUCAAUUCAAAAUCCUACCUUUGCACCUAGAUAAAAGUUGCUUACAAUAAAUAUAAACCCAAAUAAAGCUACAGUUAUGAUGAGAUAGUUGAAGUACUUACUGGUAUGGAUUAUGUAGUUGCAGUUCCGAGAUAUGGGAAAAGUUUGCAGAUUGAUAUUCAAAAACCAACUAAAAUAAGCAUGGUUUCUGUAAAAGAUGAAUCUGGAAUCAAUUUUAGUGAUAUUUCUAAUCAACAUAUUGUAUGUCUUCAAUGAUUAUGACAGCAUUUAAUAUGCAAAAUUGCUGAUAAAGUGAAACAGAAAAUUUGAUUUUUGAAGACGAAGAGAAGGGGGGGGGAGAGAAAUAAUACAUAUUUUAUUUUUGUUAUUUAAUUUUAAUAAAUGUUUUUAAGUAAAAAAUUGAAAAUAUAAAAUUAUGACGUGUCACUUUUUAAUUGCUGAGAUUUUUUUUCUAACCUCUGUAAAAGAAACUAAAAACUAUAUCCUAUGGCUUGCUUUUUAUUUCCUAAUUCUCUUUGCAAAGCAAAAAGGAUAUGGCAAAAAAAGUAGUCAUUAGUGUGAAUGGAUAAAACUUUGUGAUUUAAAGGAGAAUGGAGGUAUUGGCUUUCGUUGCUUAACAAAAUUCAAUUUAUCUUUAUUAGCAAAAUAGGGUUGGCGAUUAAUUUGUAAUCCGAAUUCUUUGCUUAUGCAUGUGUUAAAAGCUAAGUAUUGUCCCAAAACAGAUUUCAUAAAUGCAAGGUUAGGGAGUCUACCUUCCUAUACUUUGAAGAGUAUUUGGGCUGCCAAAGGGAUACUCCAAGAUGGGAUGUGCUGGAGAGUUGGGAAUGGGGAAAGAAUUCCAGUUAUUGGAGCUGCAUAGGUGCCUCGUUCAGAGAAUCGCAAAAUUCAAACUGUUAGUAGUAUUCCAGAUUCAAUGAUGGUAGCUGAUUUUAUUGUUAAGAAAUCUAGGCUUUGGAAUGAAGAACUUAUCAGAAGUACCUUCAGUAUGACUGAUGCAAAACAUAUUUUAAGCAUUCCGUUGGCUCGUAUUCCUCAGGAUGAUUUUUUGGUGUGGAAAGGGGAGGCAUCUGGUGAGUAUUUUGUCCGUAGUGCUUACAAAAUGCCUUUACAGUUAUUGGGUGAUCCUACUUAUUUACAGCAGCAAACAAAAUAUAUGCCUUUUUACAAGAAAUUAUAGGGGCUUAAUCUGCCCUCUAAAUUGAAUAUUACAAUUUGGAAAUGCUGUAAAAACUACAUCCCUACUUUGUGUAAUCUACAGUACAGAAGGCUAAUAAACGAGGUUGUGUGUCCAAAGUGUGUAGCGUCAGUGGAGACUCGCGAACAUGUGUUUAGGGAGUGGCAUGUUACAAGGGAUACAUGGAGAUAUUUAAAUAUAUGUUGGCCUGAGAUAGAGGAUGAAAUGUGCUUUAUGGAUUAGGUUACCUGGUCCUUUGCAUCCAAUACCAUAGGCCAGUGCAGAAUCUUUGCAUGCUCAAUUUGGGUUUUAUGGACGGAGAGAAACAAAUGGGCUCAUGAGCGGCAAAAAAGAUCUGGUUCAAAAAUUGCUAAUUUUCUAAAAAAUUACAUUGCUGAAUUAGAUAGGUUGGAAAAAAACUUUACCCGUGAGUAUGAAGGGAAAUGAGAUCUGGAGGCCACCGUGAACUCCGUUUGUCAAAAUUAAUUUUGAUGUGGCUUUCAACAAAACUAAUAAGAAUUCUUGCUCGGGGGUUGUAGUAAGGGAUUCUAAUAGAGAGAUAUUGGCAGUCAGAUCUAUUCUAAAUCAAAAUAUACCUGCUGCAUUUGCAGCCAAGGCUCUUGCCUAUGUUCGAGGACUCCAGUUGGGUGUGACGAUGGGAGUUAGGCAAGUGGAGGUUGAAGGUGACGCGAGAUCCGUUAUUAAAAAAAAUACAGAGUAGAUGGGCAGAUAAAUCAGAUAUACAAGCUUACAUUUUCGAUUAUCAGGAUUUGAGUAAUAGCUUUCAAACCUGUGUUUCUGUUAGGGCAUCGAUCGAAAAAUGAGAUUGCUCAUUUGCUUGCAACUGAAGGUUUGCGUAGGGAGGAACAAUGGAAUUUGGAUCGGGGGGUUCCUAUUUUUGCAUGAAUGGCAGCGAAGCGUGAUCGACUAAGAUAUUCAUCUGCUGGGAAUGGGAUGAGUUCCGUAGAAAAUCAGAGGAAUCAAAAGAUGUGAGAGGGAAGGGGGGAAAGUAGAAGUCAUCUGGUGCGUUGAAAGGAUAAUAAAUUAUGUUUUAGUAGUGCUUAAUUAAUGCUAUUGUUAAAGUUGCAGAGAUGCUUCUAGAGCAACUCUUGAGUUCA
rnacentral:lncRNA from 1 species